rnacentral:rRNA from 1 species
ACAGAGGGGGCAAGCGUUGUUCGGAAUUACUGGGCGUAAAGGGCGCGUAGGCGGCCUGUUAAGUCGAACGUGAAAUCCCCGGGCUCAACCUGGGAACUGCGUCCGAUACUGGAUGGCUUGAAUCCGGGAGAGGGAUGCAGAAUUCCAGGUGUAGCGGUGAAAUGCGUAGAUAUCUGGAGGAAUACCGGUGGCGAAGGCGGCAUCCUGGACCGGCAUUGACGCUGAGGAGCGAAAGCCAGGGGAGCAAACGGGA